AAUGAACCCAGACUAUUUUCGAUAAAGAUUAACCUUGGAGGUGAGUUUACUGAUUAUCCAGGAAGGGAGUAUGUCAACGACACUUUACUGAUGAUGAUGAUGAUGAUGAAGAUGAU